rnacentral:rRNA from 1 species
CCUACGGGAGGCUGCAGUGGGGAAUAUUGGGCAAUGGGCGCAAGCCUGACCCAGCAACGCCGCGUGAAGGAAGAAGGCUUUCGGGUUGUAAACUUCUUUUAAGGGGGAAGAGCAGAAGACGGUACCCCUUGAAUAAGCUACGGCUAACUACGUGCCAGCAGCCGCGGUAAUACGUAGGGGGCAAGCGUUGUCCGGAUUUACUGGGUGUAAAGGGCGUGCAGCCGGAGAGACAAGUCAGAUGUGAAAUCCACGGGCUCAACCCGUGAACUGCAUUUGAAACUGUUUCCCUUGAGUGUCGGAGGGGUAAUCGGAAUUCCUUGUGUAGCGGUGAAAUGCGUAGAUAUAAGGAAGAACACCAGUGGCGAAGGCGGAUUACUGGACGAUAACUGACGGUGAGGCGCGAAAGCGUGGGGAGCAAACAGGAUUAGAUACCCGUGUAGUC